AUUGAACGCUGGCGGCAUGCCUUACACAUGCAAGUCGAACGGCAGCACGGGAGCAAUCCUGGUGGCGAGUGGCGAACGGGUGAGUAAUGUAUCGGAACGUGCCCAGUCGUGGGGAUAACGUAGCGAAAGCUACGCUAAUACCGCAUACGAUCUAUGGAUGAAAGCGGGGGAUCGCAAGACCUCGCGCGGUUGGAGCGGCCGAUAUCAGAUUAGGUAGUUGGUGGGGUAAAGGCCCACCAAGCCUGCGAUCUGUAGCUGGUCUGAGAGGACGACAGCCACACUGGAACUGAGACAUGGUCCAGACUCCUACGGGAGGCAGCAGUGGGGAAUUUUGGACAAUGGGCGCAAGCCUGAUCCAGCAAUGCCGCGUGCAGGAUGAAGGCCUUCGGGUUGUAAACUGCUUUUGUACGGAACGAAACGGCUUUUUCUAAUACAGAGAGCUAAUGACGGUACCGUAAGAAUAAGCACCGGCUAACUACGUGCCAGCAGCCGCCGUAA
rnacentral:rRNA from 1 species